CUGCAAGAACAGUUCUAGGGUCUUUUGAUGUUGAAUCUCUGUAUUCUAAUAUACCGCAUGUGUUGGGACUGGAGGCAUUACACUACUGGUUAGAUCUAUAUCCAGAAGAAAUACCUAAACGUUUUGAUAAGGAAUUCAUCACGGAAGCAGCAAAAUUAAUACAUAUGAAUAAAACAUUUUACUUUAGCGGAAAAUACUAAAGGCACAUAGAAGGUACGGCCAUGGGGACAAAAUUUGCACCAGUCUAUGCUACACUAAUUAUUGGCUAUCUUAAAAACAAAUUAUAUAAGGACGUUUCUUCUAAAUUUGGUGAAGAAUUAAAAAUCUAUCUCAAAAAUCACUGGAAACGAUUUUUGGAUGACAUCUUCAUUUUAUGAACACGUUCUACUUAAGACCUAGAAAUUCUAGAAAGACUGUUGAACAGUCUCAAUGAAAAUCUAAAAUUUACGAUGGAGAAAAGCAGCACUGAAUUACUUUUCUCGGAUGUUCUUGUGAUAAAAUCAGGCACUUACUAACAAACAGAUGUUUACUAUAAACCAACAGGAAAAAACAAUAUAUCUUAUUUAAAUCUCCCGAAUCGCACAAAAGGGUAUAUUCCGUUUUGUCUUGCAAGAAGGAUGUGUGCUAUAGUUUCAAAUACAUAACAACGUGAUUAUCGACUUUCAGAACUUAGAAGAUAUAUUUUACUUCGCAGUUACCCUUUGACUCUUGUUGAAAAUGGCAUUAGAAUGGCGCUGAGAAUCAGAAAAAAAUGAAUUAAGACAAGUAAAAGAAAGACAUUAUUCUCCAGCAAUUUCAUUCGUAUUGACAAACAAUCCGAGAAAAGCAGGACUUUUUAGCACCAUCAAAAAUAAUAUAGCGAUUUUAAAAGCUGAUGGGAAAAUAAGAGAAAUUAUGGACAAAUACAAUUUAAUUAAGUGUAAAAGACAACCAGCUAAUCUUAAGAAAAUACUAACACGCGCUAAAGGACCAUGUAUGAUAAGGCACAGUUUUAGCCCCCAAAUUUUGAAGAAAAUGAAAUUAAAACUACAUCUCAACGAUAUGAAUUAUUUGAAAGAUAAAGGAUUAAUCUUGCAUUUUAUAAAGAAAAAAUGCAACAGUUUUGCCUAAAAAGUCAUGAUACAUGGUCUAGUUUCAUGCCAUCAACAGAGAUUUUGUACAUUUUUAGACAUUUUCGUGCACUUUAUCACCAAAAUACGAUACGAGCGCAGGGGAGAACAAUUUUAUUUUUUGGAUAUGUUUUGAGGAUUGCAAAAACACGAAGAAUGAUACAUGAGAGAAAAUUGUUCUAAAGUGCGCUCGUAGUAAAUUUUGAACAAAUACGGUAUUUUCGUCGGAAAAUUCUACUCUAAAAAUAGCCAUGUAAAGGGACGAAACUCUUGAUCUCCUUGAAGAGCUUGGCGUAAAGGUAAAUAAAAACAUGUUGUGACGUAAUGCUGAAGUGAUAUCGGUUGAAAAAUGGAUUUUUGUCAAAUUACAGUGAACAAGUUAUUGUGAGAUAGUCUGAUUACUUUGGAGCUGCCAGAUUGUGUAUGAAAUCCUGAACAAAUUAUUUCAACAACUUUUUCAUGAACCACAGAAACUUCACCUUACCAAAUUGUAGGACCAGACAUUGUGAGAAAGUUUGAUUGCAUUCACUGCCAGAGCUAAAGCUAGAAAAGAAACUAAACAACUUCUUCUCAUGAUCUGCUUAAUUGAUCUUCACAUUGAAUUGUCAACCUGUAUGCUACAUUGUAAAAUGACGUUGAGCAAAUAAAGAUACUGCAGUCAGCGUUACAACCUUCAUUAAACAGAAUGAAUUGGUGUUACAGAAAUAGAUAACAUAUGGAGACAAACACUUUCAGGCUACAGAAACUACACUAUGAGACUAUGAAAAUGGCUUAUUUUCAUGAUGGAACUCAUACCACAAAGAAAGAACUUGCUUUAUCUUGUUUCUUAUAACUAGUCCUCAAAGACAUACCCAAGUAAACUACAACAGGAAUGAAAGCAAACAAAGUUGAUUCAGGAUUUAGAAUUGAAUGUUUUUGUGUCAACAGUGUGUGAAAACUGCGGAAAAUAGGAUUUUAAUUUCAAGGAUUUGAUUUAGUAUGUCAAGGAGUGAUUUGUUUUUAAUUCAUCACACAAAUUAUUGACACUGCUCUAAAAUAUAAAUAUGAAGUUUAAAUACAGACUUUCAUACCUAACUAAAAUAAUGUUGAACUCAACAGAAUAAACAAACUACCAUCUGUUGUAUAAUAUAUUAGUUGAUUUAUCAAACUUUGUCAGUUUUGUUACAUUACUUAUCAUUGAUAGAAUCUAUUAUCUAAUAACUCUUUACAGUGUGUCAAGUACUCAUCAUUAUAAGCCAUUUUGAAAUAAUUACAGGACUGAUAUUUUACUGGUAUUAGUUAAAUGUGUUGUUAUUAGACCCCUUAUAUUUGAAAGUGAGUUUUCUUUAUACAUACAGGAUUCUGCUA